rnacentral:rRNA from 1 species
GUUCUCGUCCGAUCACCGAAGUUAAGUUCAUUACGGCGCGGUAAGUACUUGGAUGGGUGACCGCCUGGGAAUACAGUGUGCUGUAGGCA